rnacentral:rRNA from 1 species
UACGGAGGGUGCAAGCGUUAAUCGGAAUUACUGGGCGUAAAGCGUGCGCAGGCGGUUUGUUAAGUCUGUUGUGAAAUCCCCGAGCUCAACUUGGGAAUUGCAAUGGAUACUGGCAGGCUGGAGUAUGGUAGAGGAAGGUGGAAUUCCCGGUGUAGCAGUGAAAUGCGUAGAGAUCGGGAGGAACACCAGUGGCGAAGGCGGCCUUCUGGACCAAUACUGACACUGAGGAACGAAAGCCAGGGUAGCAAACGGG